rnacentral:lncRNA from 1 species
AAACUGCUGAAAGUUCUUUCUACCGAGAAUGAAUAAUCCUCAACCAGGUUUUCGAAUACAAUGGUCUUUACUAACAAGUGUGAGUUUGCGCCUUUAUAACUAGGACCAGGACAACUUAACUCCUGUGUUUCUUUUCCUUUGGCGUAUAUACCUUUGUCAAAACUGUGAUCCCUGCUACUUGGGAGGCUGAGACACAAGAAUUGCUUGAAUCCAGGAGGCGGAGGUUGCAGUGAGCCAAGAUCAUGCCACUGAACUCCAGCCUGGGUGACAGAGCAAGAGUCUGUCUCAAAAAAAAAAAAAGAAAGAAAAAGAUAUUGCUUAGAAAAGUAACUUGAGUCCUGUUGAGCCUAAGUAAAGGACAAUAAUGGAAGUUUCUAGUCUGCAAAAUAUGAAGAUGCCCCUCAGAGACACAGCUGUGGGUGCCUCUCACAAGACAGAUGUUCAGGAAACCUGGGCUGUUGCUCUGGAAUUUUCAAUGAGUUAUUUUACUUGUCUUUGCCUCAGUUUACAGAAAAUAAACUGGCAACAAUAUCUCCUUGUUAUUGUGAGGAUAAAAUAAAAG